GGCAGGGUGCCUGACAAAAAGGGGGCUUUUGAUGAGAGCCAUAAUGGAGUUUUUACUCCCCCUGUUA
rnacentral:tRNA from 1 species